CUUAAGCCCAAAUUAACAACUGGAAUAUGAAUUGUUUCUAAGAGAUGUGUGUCCCAGUGGUAUAUUCUGUCACAUGAUCUAGAACUGUAUAAAUACACACCAGCCUCACUGGGAGCACUGCCUUCUUCCUCAUCUGCCUAAUCUCAUUCUCCUUUAUUGUAACUAAGAAUUUGCUGUAGCGAUUUUUGGCUCCUUCAUCCCCAAGAUCACUAUACUCUGUGCGUUUCUUGUGGACACUCAGGCUGAGGGGAAAGCACUUUCUUCUCUGCUCAUAGCCUUGAAACUAAAAUGAGAGGAAUUAAAAUAGCCUCCAAGUUGGGCUGGGGCUGUGGCUCAGUCCUUGCCCAGCAUGCACAAGGCCCCAGGUUUAAUCCCCAGCAAAGCAACCUUCGGAAACCUGACUGUGGCAUCUUAAAGUGGCAGCAUCAACACUUUACACUGUCCCAAAAGUUCUGUGCCAAGAACACAAGCCCACUGGUCUUAAAGCCGAACAUGUCUGGACACAAAACCAGGAUGCCCAUGAUGAAGCAGCUAAAGGCUGGGAAAUGCUCCCAAGUGUUUCUGUGACUUUUUUCAUGACUUUUCAGUCAUGAAACAACAUCUAUGAUACUGUGUAGGUGGAAGGAAAAGAAAACCAACCACCCCACAUCCGAUUAGUAACUGGCUCACUUCAUACUUGUCUUCUAGAAUUCUAGGUGUCCCCAAAGGCAUUUGGAACAUGAGAUGACUAAAUGGAGACCUAGAGAACACAGCAAAACUGACGGGACCUUGUGGGAGGGGAUGCUCUUCAAGUACAGUCCAAGGGUGCCAAAGGGACUCAGAUGCCAGGAGUGCUUUAACUUGACUGUGACUUACAGACAUUCUAGAAGGUUUCCAGUGCACACACAAAUCUGUCUUGAACCCCGGCCUGGCUGCCCUGUAGAGCACUCUUCUAUUUAUUACAUUUCCAUGAGGCCCUGGGUUCAGUCCCUGCACUGCAAAAAAGACAAACAAAACAGAACAACCACCUCUUUGUGAUUCAGCUCGUCUGUGCUAUUGCGUUACCAGCAACAGGAAAUGGACUAAGACAACAAGGUCGCUAUGAACUUUCAUUAUGGCAUCCUCCCAAAGGGCUCCUACAUUGUAACUAAUAUUUGCUAAUUAUUUUUAAUUAUUUAAAAUAUUUAAUCAGAAACGUUUUGGUAUCCAAGAGUAAUUAUAGAGAUUUUAAUCAGAAAUUAAGCUACCAAAAUAGCAAAGCUGAUUUGUUUAAGCACAGUUAUCAAAACAUUUUAGUAACUAACAUGGACAGGUAUGGAAUGCACUCAGAUGAGACUCAACCCUUAGCUCGCCUUUGACUACAUCAGGAUCGGUUGAUAACACUGAGUGGGAGUUUUGAGUACUCAGAUCUUGACACCACAUGGCCACCAAACUGACACGAUUUUUUAAAAAAUCUCUAAUUUUCCCUAAAAAAAAAAAAAAAAAAAAGGAAAUUUUAUGAUCACUAUGUACUGGAUGGAAAGAGUAUAAGUUAAGGCCUUGAGAAAUAAAACUUUGCCUGUUUUCCUGAGUGAAACAAACAUGGUUAAUCAUCUCUCUUAUCUGUAGUGAGAGCUUACUGAUCUUUCCCCCAGGAUUGUGUCAGUCCACAUAAAGAACACAAAAGGUCAAGUAGUGUUUCUAUGAGAAGAGACAGAAAAAGUACACAGAGCUUAAAGACCCUGUGUCUUUUUAAUGGAAAACUUAUCUCUAAGACACUUUGAUCGAAGUAAAUAUAAAGGGAUUUAACAUGAUUAUAAAGAAAAUACACUUUUGAGGCUGGGGUCACGGCUCAUUGGUAGAGCGCUCGCCUAGAACAUUCGAGGAACUGGGUUCGAUCCUCAGCACCACCUAAAAAUAAAUAAAUAAAGGUAUUGUGUCCAACUACAACUAAAAUAUAUAUAUUUUUUUAAACAAAAUACACUUUUGUAUGUUAUUGCUUUAUUCUAAUUAUAAGAGUUUAUAAACAGUUGUUGCACAAACUUUGGAAAAUGCAGAAAAGAAAAAGAAUCAUUCAUAUUUCUUCCUAGUUUUAUUUGUGUCCGUAUACUUUUAUAUAAAGAGUUGAACUAGG
rnacentral:lncRNA from 1 species